GUGCGAGACCGAUAGCGAACAAGUACCGUGAGGGAAGGAUGAAAAGAACUUUGAAAAGAGAGUUAAAGAGUACCUGAAACCGCUGAAAGGGAACCGAAUCGUUUCCAGUGUCUAUAAUCUAUGGCAUAUUUCAUUGGCGUGUAAAUGUGUGCAGCGUUUUGGAAGUAGUUUUCUGCUCCUGUCGUUGUUUUGCGUUUGCCUGCUGGUGCCCUGUGCUGUAGUGGGACGUCAGAGUCAAUUCGUAUGCUGCGGGAAAUGGUUACUGGGGAGGUAGGUCACUUUGGUGGCUGUUAUAUCCUGGUGACUAGUCGUCGUGGUUGGGAUUGAGGCGCCUACAAUGUGCUUUCGAGUCUGUGGGUCUCUCGUUUGUCCGUUUGCCUUGAUAGCUUGCUAUGUUGGUGAAUGUGUUGAGCGAUUGGGAUCUGUAGUAACUUGUUGCUGUUCGGGACUUUGAA
rnacentral:rRNA from 2 species